AUGAUGACAAAUUCUGGUCUUCAGCUGCCUUCCCUGCAGAACUCCCAAUAUUUUAUCCUGAAGUGCUGCUUUUGCAGAAACUUUCUGGCCUGGUUUGUAUUUUCCUGUCAGGAUUCUUGCAUCUUCAAGGCAGAAAAUCACAUUGGAGACUCGCAGCACACAUGAGGAAACUCAGCUGAGAAUCUGGAUUGCGUUAGAUGAACGAGGAAACGACAUGAGACUUGUUUUUGUUGUGAUAAGAGGAAGAACAGAUCCGAUCAUAACAAAAACAGAUGUAAAGCCGUAACGCAGUCCCUCGUGUUAUCUCAUCCCCACUCUCCCACUGACCAGCAGAGGAUGCAAGGAAAUGUUCUGCCUUCUGCCAGCACAGCCCCUGCCAGCAAAUCAGUGCGUAAGACACUGCCUGAAAUACAUUCUGCUGCAGAAAAGUGUGAUAAAAAACCCCCCUGCCAAAGUGCUGGGCCAAUCAAUCAAGUGUUAAUGAUGGAUCAUGGAACCCAUUUGUUGACAAAUAAAACCUUGUGUGCUC